UGUUGUAUAGGAUACCCCUUUCAAACCAACGUGGAGCCUUCCAUUUUCUCUUUUUCCCUUCUCUCUAUUUUCGUCCAAAAGAACACUCAUGUGCAUAUACUUCCAAUAUUACUCACUGAUGUACAACUGAGUCAAAAAUGUAUUGUCGAUGCACUUAGAAAAAAAAAACAGAGACAAGAACAAAAGAAUUUUCAGCAGGAAAUAAUCAUGAUUCAGCAAUGCUUGCAAGCAUGUCUACAUAUGCACUCAAAAAACAAAAUUAGCAGCAAAACUACUGGGUGAUUAUUGCUAACUCAUUAUAUCAUAAUAUGUCAAGAUAUUAUCCUUCUUUCAUUUCUUUUACAUGUUGAAGGGAGCAUCAGUUGGAACUAUUUUCGGAAAUUGUAGCUUUCAUGACAGAUCAGGUAGUAGAAAUUAUGUACUUGCUUUGUCAAUAACUUAUUUCUCAAUACUUCUCUCAUUUUACUCAAACCUGAUCACCUGGGUCAAGAUGGGAUGUCAAUUGGUCACUACACCUUUAGGGACUCCAUAAUUUGAACUACAAAACUGUAGAGCCCCAAUAUGGGUUUCUAUCACAAGUUAAUAGUUAUGUUCUACAUCUUCUCUUGAUAUACUUGAGAUGGAGAUCCUAUCCAAUAUUGAUUUGCAUACAUCUCAAACCUGUGCUGCUGUGCACAUUCAGAUAUAUGGGUUCCAAUAUGUGUCGUGUCUCAGAUUAAUACGACUUUUUUUUGCGAGGAGAUUAAUACGACUUAUUUUAGUACAAUAGUAGAAUUUUAGAAGAUAUGAAGGUGAAGUCACUUCAGCCUAAGCAUAAUAGAUCUCUCAUUUUAAGCCAUAAUAAGUUUGGUCUAUUUUUAUUUCCUCUUUUUUUUGCAGCAUUUUCUUCCCCUGCCAAUAGCGGAUUAUUUGUUCCAUUGGAUUUUGAAUCGAUUCCUGCUUACUUACACUUCAGCUAGGGAAGUAAGCACGCAACUUUGUACUAAUGGACUUUGAGAUGAUCAGUAUAAAGAGGAGACAAUAAUAUAUCAUCGCAGCUGGCAUCAUUUUUGCUUAAGUGAACCUCCAGUGUAGAUGUACUUUUACUUCAUGCCUAUAGUGCCGUUCCUGCUUAUGUUUAUUUUUUUCCUUCAAUUAUUUUGGUUGGCAUUCCUCAUAGGAUAUUCAUGAUCUGUGUACAAGAAUCCAUGAUCUUAAUGCCAAAAUGUAGAUAUGGAAAUCAUGUUUCCUUACAGUUAAUUGAUAUGACGAUGAUACACUGA